GGGUCAGUAGGUUGGUCGUGCCACCGGUACGUACUGGUCUCACUGAUUCCUCCUUCCUGAAGAACCGUAAUGCCAUUAAUUUGGUGUUACGGGGAAACAGGACUGUUACUUUGAAAAAAUUAGAGUGUUUAAAGCAAGCUAACGCUUGAAUACAUUAGCAUGGAAUAAUGAAAUAGGACGAUCGAUCCUAUUUUGUUGGUUUCUAGGAUUGACGUA
rnacentral:rRNA from 1 species